UGGGGAAUAUUGGACAAUGGGCGCAAGCCUGAUCCAGCAAUGCCGCGUGGGUGAAGAAGGCCUUCGGGUUGUAAAGCCCUUUAAGCGGGGAGGAAAGCCGGGGUGUGAAUAGUACCUCGGGGUGACGUUACCCGCAGAAUAAGCACCGGCUAACUCCGUGCCAGCAGCCGCGGUAAUACGGGGGGUGCGAGCGUUAAUCGGAAUGACUGGGCGUAAAGCGUGCGUAGGCGGUGUAAUCAGUCAGCCGUGAAAGCCCCGGGCUUAACCUGGGAAUGGCGGUUGAGACGGUUAGACUAGAGUGGGCUAGAGGACUGUGGAACUCCCGGUGUAGCGGUGAAAUGCGUAGAGAUCGGGAAGAACACCGAUGGCGAAGGCAGCAGUCUGGGGCCACACUGACGCUGAGGCACGACGGCGUGGGGAGCAAACAGG
rnacentral:rRNA from 1 species